UUGUAUCAAAGUACGCAUGGUACACCAAACGGGGAGCGAUCUAUACUUCGUCCCUCGAAGUUGUUUCUUAUCUAAUCUCAAUUAUACAUCGGUACCGAGUAGGUGUAUACGUCUACGUAGCGUGUGAGAAGAAAAGCGAAUAAAAUGGGAUAGCUCCGGAUCAACGACUCUACGUUAUGCAUGAACGUAAAAAUUUAAGAGAAAAAAAAAAGAAAAGAAAAUUUACUCCAUCCGAUCGAACGGAGUCGAAUACUCGGGCCCCCGAAGCAGCUCGACGUGAACUUGGCACUUUUUUUUUCUCAGAACGCAGGAUUUCUUUGUAAUAUCUAACAGUGCCAAAGAAGAACAGUGACCGAUGCGGCUGUUCGGGUGGCGUCGAUAAGAGCGUCGUCAGGUGUGCCUCGGAUCAGUAUUGGAGCUAGAUAACGAGUGGCUUGUACCGAUACUCGUUGGUAGCACGUAAUAUUGCAUAAAAGGUAUAGCCGUGGCUUCGGUAUCGCGACAGCAGCAGCAGCAAACGGGGAUUGAAAAGUAAUUUCUUAUCGUAUCAAAGUGGCAAUUUAAUUAAAUUCGAUUGACUGCUCCGCUCGUAAACCUAGUUGAGGAUUUGUUCCUGUUCACGAUGCAGUUGCCGAUUUAUAUCCGAAUAAUCUCGAUGUACCGUGCGCGGGGUGCAGCUGACAAUGAGAGAGAAGGACGGAACGUGGUCAACGCCGUCGAGGGGACCGAAAUGCAGCGAGUCCUACCCCUCGCAGCCAAUGAAAUUCACGAGAUUCGUGCGGGAUGGGCGGAGAGACGAGAUACACCGCACCGAGCUAAUAUUGGAUAUUAGGAAGCCUCCGGAGUAGCGGCAGCACGUUUCCGUCCACCGAUAUACGACGUACACAUCCGAUCGCCUCGAUGAUACUUACAAAUGUUCGUACGAGACUCCGCGCAACGUAUAAGAAAUCGCCGAUCGUCCGAUCAUAUCGGACGAAAAAUCGCCACCCGGAUAGUGCGGUAAUUGGAGGUAACCUGCGCAUCCUGUCCAACAUUAGUCCGUUACACCGAUACCCUAAAAUGUGUGUCCGUUUUACGGCUCGCAGUCGUCACAAUGAUCGGAGAGGAACGGUGGAACGCGGCACGGGCAAAUGCAAUGUGCAAAUAUAUAUACGCGAGUCGCGGCCAUUUAUGUCUACUCGUAAUUCGUGAUUACCGUACAGCGUAUAGGUGAUACGGAAACUACGGCGGUCCAUCUCGCGUGUCGCUCUAAUAAUAUCCGCGUCCGGAGAUCCGCGUAUAUGUAUAUACAGUGGUGUAGUACCUACAAGAAUAUACGCCGAGCGCGGAUAUUCGAGCUAGCGGGGUCGGUUAAUGGGGCUGUUUGAAUAUAUAUGCGAACUGUGGCUACGUUGCACAUAGUUACGUAUUUACGUAUGCGCGCGUUACACCUGCGUAGGUAGAUACGUCUGCGGUCCGCGUCCGCGUCAACGAGUGCCCAUCUCCCGCACUCGCGGAUAACGUGUAUAGGAUACACGUCCCAGGCUCUUCCAAGUCCCAACGUACCUAAAUGGAGUACAGACCGUAUAUCCCACACGUAUCCGGGUCGGAGUUCUUUUAUCCCGAGGGAAAUAUGGAGCGAUAUUGGUAGCAAAGCGUAGUGGCCACGUCCGCGGUGACGCGAUACAUGCACCCGUCUCUGUACCUUC